rnacentral:sRNA from 1 species
CGUACCUGUUCUUCGGGUCUCAGGCCUGGGCUGUUAUGGCUCCAGGCUGCAGGACCCGAAAUAAACUAUAAUUUUAGUGAAUCUGAGAAUAUAAAAAAAUAAUCAAAACUUUCAGCAACGGAUCUCUUGGUUCUGGCAUCGAUGAAGAACGCAGCGAAAUGCGAUAAGUAAUGUGAAUUGCAGAAUUCAGUGAACCAUCGAAUCUUUGAACGCACAUUGCGCCCGCCAGCACUCUGGCGGGCAUGCCUGUCCGAGCGUCAUUCAACCCUCAGCAUAGCUGGUGUUAGGGACGGCAUAUGCUCUGCAUGUGCCCCCCUGAAAUCAAUUGGCGGUCUCGUCGCGACCUCUGCGUAGUUACAAUCCUCGCAGCUGGAAAGCGGCUCGGCCUGCCCAAACACUCUCGCAAGAGAACAUCACCAUGUUGACCUCGGAUCAGGUAGGACUACCCGCUGAACUUAAGCAUAUCAAUAAGCGGAGGAAAAGAAACCAACAGGGAUUGCCUCAGUAACGGCGAGUGAAGCGGCAACAGCUCAAAUUUGAAAUCUGGCAUCAGCCCGAGUUGUAAUUUGUAGAGGAUGCUUCUGGCGACGCGCCUUCCGAGUUCCCUGGAACGGGACGCCAAAGAGGGUGAGAGCCCCGUCCGGUCGUGCGCCUAGCCUCUGUGAAGCUCCUUCGACGAGUCGAGUAGUUUGGGAAUGCUGCUCUAAAUGGGAGGUAUACGUCUUCUAAAGCUAAAUAUCGGCCAGAGACCGAUAGCGCACAAGUAGAGUGAUCGAAAGAUGAAAAGCACUUUGAAAAGAGGGUUAAAUAGUACGUGAAAUUGCUGAAAGGGAAGCGCUCAUGACCAGACUUGGGCUCGGUGAAUCAGCCGGCGUUCUCGCCGGUGCACUUUGCCGGGCCCAGGCCAGCAUCAGUUCGCCGCGGGGGAUAAAGGCGUCGGGAACGUAGCUCCUCCGGGAGUGUUAUAGACCGGCGCGUAAUACCCUGGGGUGGACUGAGGUACGCGU